UACAGAGGGGGCAAGCGUUAUUCGGAAUUAUUGGGCGUAAAGGGCGCGUAGGCGGCCUGGCAAGUGGAAGGUGAAAUCCCUCGGCUUAACCGAGGAACUGCCCUCCAAACUGCUUGGCUUGAGACCGGGAGAGGUGAGUGGAAUUCCCAGUGUAGCGGUGAAAUGCGUAGAUAUUGGGAGGAACACCAGUGGCGAAGGCGGCUCACUGGACCGGUACUGACGCUGAGACGCGAAAGCGUGGGGAGCGAACAGG
rnacentral:rRNA from 1 species